rnacentral:tRNA from 1 species
GGGGGUGUAGCUCAGUGGUAGAGCGUGUGCUCGGCGUGCACAAGGGCCUGGGUUAAAUCCCCAGUGCCUCCA